AACGAACGCUGGCGGCAGGCUUAACACAUGCAAGUCGAACGCCCGUAGCAAUCCGGGAGUGGCAGACGGGCGAGUAACGCGUGGGAAUCUUCCCAAAGGUACGGAACAACUCAGGGAAACUUGAGCUAAGACCGUAUGUGCCCGAGAGGGCACAGAUUUAUCGCCUUUGGAUGAGCCCGCGUUGGAUUAGCUAGUUGGUGGGGUAAUGGCCUACCAAGGCGACGAUCCAUAGCUGAUCUGAGAGGAUGAUCAGCCACACUGGGACUGAGACACGGCCCAGACUCCUACGGGAGGCAGCAGUGGGGAAUCUUGGACAAUGGGCGAAAGCCUGAUCCAGCCAUGCCGCGUGAGUGAAGAAGGCCUUAGGGUUGUAAAGCUCUUUUGCCCGGGAAGAUAAUGACGGUACCGGGAGAAUAAGCCCCGGCAAACUUCGUGCCAGCCGCCGCCGUAACAC
rnacentral:rRNA from 1 species